GCUGGGAUGGCCGAGUCGUUAAGGCGAGUGAUUUGAAUCAUUCUAUCUUCAUAUCUUAUCACUUGGUGUUUCACCGCGUAGGUUCAGAUCCUGCUCCCAGCG
rnacentral:tRNA from 1 species